CACCAUGAAGGACUGCAGCAUGCAAAGCAUUUCUGCCAUUAGGGCCAUUAUAUUGUGGUGAACUACUCUGAUCCAAUAUUGGGACAAGGUACAU